rnacentral:piRNA from 1 species
UGUUCAUGGGCCUGCGCACACGACGC